rnacentral:tRNA from 1 species
GGUGGCAUUCGCGAGAUCGAGUUCAUCGUGCAGCUGGUGCAGCUGAUUCGCGGCGGCCGUGAGCCGAGUUUGCGGGUGCGGGGCCUGCUGCCGGCGC